CCCAGGGAGCUCCCUCACCCCUCCACACAAGGACACAGCCAGGGUGCUGCCAAUGAGCCAGGAAGCAGGCUCUUACAGACAAAAGACCUGCAGGUGCCUUGAACUUGGAGUUCCUCAUCUACGGAAAUGUGAGAAAUAAGGCUGGCAAAUAAGCAAACAAACAUCAGACAGAUUGAUAAGAGAAAAAAAGUCAAGAAGUUUAGUGAUAACAUGGAUAUCUCCCGUACAAGUGGAGAGACCAAACAAGACUGAAUAACUCAGCUCAUGGCUUCAAGAACCAUUUUAAAUAGCUUGGCUAAGACAGAAGGACUUUGUGGCAGAGAAAGGAAGAUCAGUAAGGGAGCUUACCACGGAAGGCACAGUAAACAAAGGCCGGUGAUCAAGGGGACACUCAGCUGGGCAGUUUUGUUGUCUUUGGACCAGUAUCCAUUUCUUCCUCCUAACUUUUAGUGCUGACGUCAGAAAGCUGGCUGAACCCAAAGUCCACAGAUGGGUAAAUAGAGGGCACCCCAAAAGUUUUAGUGCCACUUUAAUAUUUGUGGGAGUAUAAAUGCUACAAACUUACAGAA